rnacentral:lncRNA from 1 species
GAUAUUUGGAGCUGCUUGAAUAAUUCAUGACAGAGCUUAACUGUUUCUUUUUACCUGAUACUUAUUUAAAAGCAAUUUUUCUCCUUUUGUGACAAUAUUUGCUAAUGCACUUUGGUAUAUGACAACAGAGGGAAAGCAUAAGUAUCACCUCCUUUUAAUACCGAUCAUGGAACUUUAUUGAAACAAGCAAAACCGUAAAGGCUCAACAGUUCCUGUUUUAUUGGACGUCUGCAGAGAUGAGUGCUAAUGUCUUCUCCAGCCUGUUCUGCUCAGCUCCCUGCUCGUAUGCUCGUCACAAGCAGGUUACCGAGUCCCUGCUGAAGCCGAAGGGGAGGGAUGCUGUUCGCCCCAGCCUGAGAAGCAGCAGGGAGGAGGUAAGGUGAAUCUGUACAUGAUCAGCAAGCCGUGCACCUGGCAGUGAUGUCCUGAGUGCUGGUUGAACAAAGGCUCAUAUUUUUAUUUGUUUUUGUCAUUUGAAAGAAAAGAGCUGGGAGAGCGAGAAUAUUAGCAAUUUACUGUGAGGCUCCAUUAGAUCAAAUCAGCG